rnacentral:rRNA from 1 species
UAAUACGGAGGGUGCAAGCGUUAAUCGGAAUUACUGGGCGUAAAGCGCACGCAGGCGGUCUGUUAAGUCAGAUGUGAAAUCCCCGGGCUCAACCUGGGAACUGCAUUUGAAACUGGCAAGCUAGAGUCUCGUAGAGGGGGGUAGAAUUCCAGGUGUAGCGGUGAAAUGCGUAGAGAUCUGGAGGAAUACCGGUGGCGAAGGCGGCCCCCUGGACGAAGACUGACGCUCAGGUGCGAAAGCGUGGGGAGCAAACAGGAUUAGAUACCCUGGUAGUCCACGCUGUAAACGAUGUCGAUUUGGAGGUUGUGCCCUUGAGGCGUGGCUUCCGGAGCUAACGCGUUAAAUCGACCGCCUGGGGAGUACGGCCGCAAGGUUA